CCUACGGGUGGCAGCAGUGGGGAAUUUUGGACAAUGGGGGAAACCCUGAUCCAGCAAUGCCGCGUGUGUGAAGAAGGCCUUCGGGUUGUAAAGCACUUUUGGCGGGAACGAAACGGCUCUUGCUAAUACCAGGAGCUACUGACGGUACCCGCAGAAUAAGCACCGGCUAACUACGUGCCAGCAGCCGCGGUAAUACGUAGGGUGCAAGCGUUAAUCGGAAUUACUGGGCGUAAAGCGUGCGCAGGCGGUUUUGUAAGACAGGUGUGAAAUCCCCGGGCUUAACCUGGGAACUGCACUUGUGACUGCAAGGCUAGAGUGUGUCAGAGGGAGGUGGAAUUCCGCGUGUAGCAGUGAAAUGCGUAGAGAUGCGGAGGAACACCGAUGGCGAAGGCAGCCUCCUGGGAUAACACUGACGCUCAUGCACGAAAGCGUGGGGAGCAAACAGGAUUAGAUACCCUAGUAGUC
rnacentral:rRNA from 1 species